GAUGAACUUUGGCGGCGUGCCUAAUACAUGCAAGUCGAGCGAACGGACGAGAAGCUUGCUUCUCUGAUGUUAGCGGCGGACGGGUGAGUAACACGUGGAUAACCUACCUAUAAGACUGGGAUAACUUCGGGAAACCGGAGCUAAUACCGGAUAAUAUUUUGAACCGCAUGGUUCAAAAGUAAAAGACGGUCUUGCUGUCACUUAUAGAUGGAUCCGCGCUGCAUUAGCUAGUUGGUAAGGUAACGGCUUACCAAGGCAACGAUGCAUAGCCGACCUGAGAGGGUGAUCGGCCACACUGGAACUGAGACACGGUCCAGACUCCUACGGGAGGCAGCAGUAGGGAAUCUUCCGCAAUGGGCGAAAGCCUGACGGAGCAACGCCGCGUGAGUGAUGAAGGUCUUCGGAUCGUAAAACUCUGUUAUUAGGGAAGAACAUAUGUGUAAGUAACUGUGCACAUCUUGACGGUACCUAAUCAGAAAGCCACGGCUAACUACGUGCCAGCAGCCGCGGUAAUACGUAGGUGGCAAGCGUUAUCCGGAAUUAUUGGGCGUAAAGCGCGCGUAGGCGGUUUUUUAAGUCUGAUGUGAAAGCCCACGGCUCAACCGUGGAGGGUCAUUGGAAACUGGAAAACUUGAGUGCAGAAGAGGAAAGUGGAAUUCCAUGUGUAGCGGUGAAAUGCGCAGAGAUAUGGAGGAACACCAGUGGCGAAGGCGACUUUCUGGUCUGUAACUGACGCUGAUGUGCGAAAGCGUGGGGAUCAAACAGGAUUAGAUACCCUGGUAGUCCACGCCGUAAACGAUGAGUGCUAAGUGUUAGGGGGUUUCCGCCCCUUAGUGCUGCAGCUAACGCAUUAAGCACUCCGCCUGGGGAGUACGACCGCAAGGUUGAAACUCAAAGGAAUUGACGGGGACCCGCACAAGCGGUGGAGCAUGUGGUUUAAUUCGAAGCAACGCGAAGAACCUUACCAAAUCUUGACAUCCUUUGACAACUCUAGAGAUAGAGCCUUCCCCUUCGGGGGACAAAGUGACAGGUGGUGCAUGGUUGUCGUCAGCUCGUGUCGUGAGAUGUUGGGUUAAGUCCCGCAACGAGCGCAACCCUUAAGCUUAGUUGCCAUCAUUAAGUUGGGCACUCUAAGUUGACUGCCGGUGACAAACCGGAGGAAGGUGGGGAUGACGUCAAAUCAUCAUGCCCCUUAUGAUUUGGGCUACACACGUGCUACAAUGGACAAUACAAAGGGCAGCGAAACCGCGAGGUCAAGCAAAUCCCAUAAAGUUGUUCUCAGUUCGGAUUGUAGUCUGCAACUCGACUACAUGAAGCUGGAAUCGCUAGUAAUCGUAAAGCAGCAUGCUAUGGUGAAUACGUUCCCGGGUCU
rnacentral:rRNA from 1 species